UUAUUAUUAUUAUUAUUAUUAUUAUUAAUGUAAUAAAUGUUUUUGUUCUUUAAAAAAAAAAAAAGAGCCUCUCUCUGGACGAACGGGGCAACUGCUAUAGUGUUCGAAAAUAUGACACAUUCGUUUUUCCAAAACUGGAAGGCCAGGGUAUAAUGAUAUAGGUCUCUGUAUGUUUUUUUUCUCCAAAACUAGCACUGUAUCAAUGCUUAUGUUCUACGUGAAACACACUUCUUCAUGAACGAUGCACUACCUCAGAACAUACAGUGCUCAUAAGUUUGCAUACCCUGGCAGAGAUUGUGAAAUUUUGGCAUUGAUUUUGAAAAUAUGAUUGAUCAUGUAAACUUUAUUUUAGGAUAGUGAUCAUAUGAAGCCUAUUAUUAUUACAUAAUUGGUUGGCUCCUUUUUAAGUCAUCAUGAUAACAGAAAUCACCCAUGAAUGUUUGGCCUUGUGACACACACAGGUGAAAAUGGCAAUUAAAGGUGAAUUUCCCACACCUGUGGCUUUUGGAAUUGCAAUUAGUGUCUGUGCAUCAGUAGUCAAUGAGUUUGUUAGCUCUCAUGUGGAUGCACUGGACUGGCUAGAUACUGAGCCAUGGGGAGCAGAAAAGAACGGUCUAAAGACCUGCGUAACAAGGUAGUGGACUUUUAUAAAGAUGGAAAAGGAUAUAUAAAGAUCCAAAGCCUUGCAAAUGCCAGUCAGUACUGUUCAAUCACUUAUUAAGGAGUGGAAUAUUUGGGGAUCUAUUGAUGCCAAGGUCAGGUAGACCAAGAAAGAUUUCAGACAAUACUCCCAUUAGAAUUGUUCGGGAUACAAAGAAAAACCCACAGGUAACCCCAGGAGAAACACAGUGGGGCAAAAAAGUAUUUAGUCAGCUACCAAUUGUGCAAUUUCUCCCACUUAAAAUGACGAGAGAGGCCUGUCAUUUUCAUCAUAGCUACACUUCAACUAUUAGAGACAAAAUUAGGAAAACAAAUCCAGAAAAUCACAUUGUAGUAUUUUGUUUGUAGGUGACCAAAUACUUAUUUUACCUAGGAAUUUACCAAUAAAUUCAUUAAAAAAUCCUACAAUGUGAUUUUCUGGAUUUAUUUUUCUCAUUUUGUCUCUCAUAGUUGAAGUGUACCUAUGAUGAAAAUUACAGGCCUCAUCUUUUUAAGUGGGAGAACUUGCACAAUUGGUGGCUGACUAAAUACUUUUUUUUGCCCCACUGUACAAGCUGCUCUGGAAAAAGACGGUGUGGUUGUUUCAAGGAGAACAAUACAAUGAUACGUGAACAAAACUGAGCUGCAUGGUCGAGUUGCCUUUACUGCGCCAAUGCCCGGUUACAAUAUGCCCAAAAACACCUUGACACAUCUCACAGUUUCUGGCACACUGUAAUUUGGAGUGACGAGACCAAAAUAGAGCUUUAUGGUCACAACCAUAAGCGCUAUGUUUGACGAGGCGUCAACAGUGCCUAUAGUGAACAGAAUACCCUCCGCACUGUGAGGUUUCCUGGUGGCUCACUGAUGUUUUGGGGGGUGUGUGAGCUCUAAAGGCAUGGGGAAUCUUGUGAAAAUGGAUGGCAAGAUAAAUGCAGCAUGAUCUCAGAAAAUACUGGCAGACAGUUUGCAUGAAAGCUGCACAUGGUACACUCUUGGACUUUCCAGCACAACAAUGACCCUAAGCACAAGGCCAAGUUGACCCUCAUGUGGUUACAGCAGAAAAAGGUGAAGGUUCUAGAGUGACCAUCAGUCUCCUGACCUUAAGAUCAUCGAGCUACUCUGGGGGGGAUCUCAAACGUGCAGUUCAUGCAAGACGACCAUAGACUCUGCAUGACCUGGAGGCAUUUUGCCAAGAUGAAUGGGCAUCUAUACCACCUGCAAGAAUUUGGGGCCUCAUAGACCACUAUUACAAAAGACUGCAUGCUGUCAUUGAUGCUAAAGGGGGCAAUACAGAGUAUUAAGAACUAAGGGUAUGCAGACUUUUGAACAGGGGUCAGUUUUAAUAGCAGAAUUUACUAGCUUGCAACAAUCAGAAUUAAUGGGAAUUCAUCACAUUGGUUUGACAAUGUGCGGUUCCCAGUAGUGAUGAUAAAAUGAAAUCUAGUUCACGGACUACUUUUUUCGUAGGCUUCCAUUUUCAGACUUUGGCUCAUCGUCCUACAGAUUGACUCGAGUGUUUGCAUCAAUCAACUUUGCUUGACUGACCAUCAGGUUUGCGGGGAAAAUUUUGAUGUUGCUGACUUUACUAAGAAUGUACAACAAAAAGGAAAAUACUAAAUAUAAUUUCUUUUAAAUAUGCCUGUCCGCCGUGUUGGACAUGCAGCGCAACCAAACAGCCCUGGAGUACAGGUGUGGGGCCAAAUCCUAAUCAUUAGCCUAGUAUGAAAUUAAACCUACUUUGGGGAGGCAACAUUUUAUUUUCAUUCAUUGCAAUUAUCAGAGGAGCCCAAGGUUUUUCAAAAUUGUAUAGGAAUGCAACUGACAUGGCUGUUCCAAACAGGAGAAAUUGUGCUAAUGCUAAGGUAGUAGGUAUUUCAGUACCUCCACAUAUCAAUGCUGCAGGAAAUGGUUUACGACAGUAUUAUCUAAAUAGCUAUUACAUGCCUACUUACGGGUUUGAGAGUUGUUUGGUCCCUCCGGCCUGUGCCUAUUUAUUUUGGGGAUGUGGAAGUUUUGACAGCCUGAAAGUCAGUGCCGUCUGUUGUGCACACUGGAGCCGAUUGAGACUCAUCCACGGACACGUCUAGGUUCUCGAUGGCAUUAGGUAACAAUAAAAUCAAAUUCUUACAGCACAAACUGUCCUCUUCACUGGGCAUCUGCUUACACCUCUGGCAAGAACACCAAAAGUCCACCAAAGUUUUUGGUCAGGCCUGGGCUGCAAAGUUGGGUAAUAACAGAUCUUCACCUUUCCUCUCAUCCAUUGCUUCUAAUUCCUUCUUCCUUCUCUAGCUCAAACCUGUAGUCAUGCAAUCGUCUUUGUGUUCCAUCGUUUGUCAAACAAAAAAUAGUUGUAUUAGCUGCUUAUAAACAGACACAAAUGGAGUACUAGGUAACGUGGGCUACAGUUUUGUAAACAAAGCCUGUGACUGGAUCCAGCCUCCUCGCAAACACAUUCAUCUGUGCGGCAUUAGCUAAUACAAAUCAUUAUCCAGAAAGAAUAAACAGCGAUAACCAUUGAUGCAAUGCUUGUUUUGGCACAACUUGUUUUUAGAGAACAUAAAGAGACCUAUAUCAAUAUACCCUGGCCUUCCCGUUUUGGAAAACAAAUGUUUCAUAUAUUUUCCAACGCUAUAGCGGUUGCCCCGUUCCACUGUAGCCUGGAGAGAGGCUUCCUUUCAAAAAAAUCGAACAAACUCAAAACUGUAAUAAUUCGAAAAAGAAGUGUCUCCACAGUCCAGGAUUAUCCUAGAUCAGUGGUUCCCAACCAGGGGUACUAGGACCCCUGGGGGUACUUGGCCUUUCCACAGGGGGUACUUGAAAACACUCAUGACACCAUAGACUUACUAGUGAAAUGAACAUGAGGGGGUACUUCAGGGGUACUCCAAGCAGUGCAAAUUCUUUUUGGGGGUACAGUAACUGAAAAGGUUGGGAACCACUGUCCUAGAUAAUCAAAAAUGGCAAACACUUAUUUAACUCCAAAUAAUUUGAAGCCCUACUCCCUACGUGUGUUAAUAGGGAUAUUUUACCAUGCACUGGUAUAAUUGAGCUUGUUCUACAAACUUUUAUAUAAUAUAACUUAAUAUAUAUAAAAAACGUAAUAUUAAGUUAAUACACUGCUCAAAAAAAUUAAGGGAACACCUUAAUCACACAGCAGAUAUUGAUGAAUUAAAUACAUUAAAAAAUACAAAGCUUUACUGUACAUUGUGUAAUUUAGUUCUCAACGAAUGAUGUAACAACGUUCAAUGGAAACCAAAGUCACCAACCGAUUUGAGGGCUGGAUUGAAACUCUCGUUAAAUCAAAAUAAACAAUUGAAAUCACAGGCUGUUCCCACUUGUGUGAAUUUCAUCAUGGCAACACAAUGUGACUCAGUAGUGUGUGUGGCCCCCACGUGCCUGUGUGCACCCCUGACAACAUCUGGGCAUGCUCCUGAUGAAGGUGGAUGGUGUCCUGGCGGAUCUCCUCCCAGACCUGGAUCAGGGCAUCAGUGAACUCCUCGACACCAACGUACGUUCUGAAGAUGGGCCUGAAGGUUUCAUACCGGUACCUAAAAGCAGUCAGGGUACUGUUGGCUAGCAUGUGGAGGUCUGUGCGACCCUCCAAGGAUAUGCCUCCCCAGACCAUCACUGACCCACCGCCAAAGCGGUCAUGCUGGAUGAUGUUGCAGGCAGCAUAAUGUUCACCACGGCAUCUCCAGAUUCCUACGUCUGUCACGUGCUCAGUGUGAACCUGCUCUCAUCUGUGAAAAGAAUGGGAUGCCAGUCGAGAUGCACGGUGCUGGGCUGUGAGCACAGGUCCCACUAGAGGACGAGCCCUCAUGCCACCCUAAUGAGUCUGUUUUGGAGUUUGGUUCAGAAACAUGCACACCAGUAGCCUGUUUUGAGGUCAUUCUGUAGGGCUCUGCCAGUGCUCCUCUUCUUCCUCCUCGCACAUAGCAGACAACAGUCCUGCUGCUGGGUUGAUGCAUUUUUAUGGGACUGUCGAACUCUCCUCAUGUAACAGCCCGUCUCCUGGAAUCUCCUUCAUGCUGUUGAGACUGUACUAGGGGAUGCAGCAAACCUUGUGAUGGCACGUAUGGAUGUGCCAUCCUGGAGAAGCUGGACUACCUGUGCAACCAGAAUGGGCUGCAGGUACCACCUCAUGCUACCAGUAGUGCCAAAGACACUAGCAAAACACAAACUAGAGAAGAAUCCAUCAGGAAGAAUAAGGAGAGAGCAAUUGUAUGUGGCCACCACCUGCAAAACCAUUCCCUUUUUGGGGGUUGUCUUACUUUUGCCUCUCCAGGGCACCUGUUGUCACUUUCAUUUGCACCAAAACCGGUGAUAUUGAUUCACAAUUGCUUAUGCUUCCUAACUGGACAGAUUGAUAUCCCUGAAGUUUAAUUGACUUGGUGUUAUACUGUGACGAUUAUUUGUUCCCUUAAUUUUUUUGAGCUGUGUAAUAUAACUUUUGAAUAUGUUACUUAAUGUCAGAAUUAUUUUCCAGAACUUUCUAGAACUAUGCAGCAUUACUAAUUAAUAGUUAUCUUCAUUUAAAAUUGUAAGAAAAUUUGAUUUGGGGUGUGUCUAUUUUUGUACUCCAACUGGUUUGGCUAUUUAUUAUUUAGGGAUUAUUUAGGGACUAAAACGUGUUUCAAUACUAAAAAUGUUUUUGCAACUAGUAGCAUAUCUCACGUACAGUCUCUCUCACACUGUCACACACAACAUGACUCUUAAAUGACCUAGUCCGGGAAACUGGUUAUCUAUUCACGGACAUCCUUCCCGCCCUUCUCUGAAAAACAACCACACACACACACACACACACACACACACACACAUCUACAAACACACCAGGUGCCGUUCCCUAAACUAAAAUGAAAAGUUGUUAGGUACUUUAAGGUCCAUUUUGACAGUGACAUUUUAAAAUAUUUUGGCAUUGAAAUGACACUAGUGCAGACGGUCACCUGUCUUGAAAAUACAGCAGAGGUUUUAGUUUGGGGAACUUUGUUUUAGUGUUUCAAUCUAAAAUGUUUUUCUUUCUUUUGUUGGAGGAAAUGUAUAGAAAGACGUGGCAUGUUGCCAACCCCUUCUGUACUGGCACUUGGCUGGAAACCCUCAAAUACACACACCUCACUUUCCCAUUGAAAGGUUUGCACUAACAACAAAAAGCAAUAUCUGCAGUUUUGUGUGUUCUAGAAAUACGGGUACAGGCUGACCCCUAGGGGAGUUUUCUAGGAACAGUGAGAAAACUUAAAGGUGCCAUAUGUAAGAUUUUUACUGUAUUACUUGCAUGCAUAAACACAAAUGACCAUUAGACAUCUUAAGCAAUGUUUCAAACAUUGUUUUUCUACAAAAUAGUUCCAGAGUUAUUCCCCAUUUAAACUAUCUUGUCAGUUGCACUUUAGACACCCUCACAACUAUCCCUCCCAACCUGAACCAGCUAAUACCAUUGUGGACCAGUUGAGUCAUUGAUGAAAUUCAGUGAUAUAAAUGUUAGAGGCAGGUUUCUACACCGUGCCCCUAAAAACUAAUAGUGUUUUUCAUUUUUCCUGGUGUUUCUAAAAUCAGCAUUCAUCUUUAGGACAAAAAUCAUGUACCUAAUUUAUAGCUGUAUUGAGGAUCAUGUCCCUGUGCUGAAGAGAAUCCUGAUGUCAUGGUUUUUGAAAAAUAUUUGUAUUUAUUUAAAAAGGUAUAUUAAAGUGUUGUGCCUUUUUUCUUUUUCACACACUGAGGAGCAGGCAGACGGCAGCCAGUACCCACUUGGCAGGCUUCUCCUUGGUCUUAAGGUUGAAGGUCCAGAUGAAGGUGGGUCCCCUCAUGCGGGUCUUGUAGACAGGACACUCGUACAUGUUCUUGGUCUCCUGCCGGUCCACUGGUACUGCCUUGAUGAAGAUCACUGGCAUGUUGGGGGUCAGCUCCUUCAGUCGAGCAUCUGCUAUCACCCCCGUCUGGGUGUCCCAACGUGCCCCUGCACACACACACCGUAUGAACGUUUGAACGGGAACAAUCAUCAACCCCUGGGACGGUGGAUAUCUGCAUCACUGAACGAAUGGACCACUUUACCAUUGCUUGAAGAAUUAGCACUGUGUUUUUGUCAUGAAAAGUAGUAAAGUGUUUUUUAUUUGUGUUUUAAGUUAACUGAACAUUCAUAUAAACCUAUUUAUCUAACAGCAGCUGAGUACAUGUCAGCAGGAGGAAUGUUAGUGUGUUCGUUAACCUUUCCAAUAGUUCUGCAUUGACAGAGGGGAAGGUUUUGUAUCAUGAGAGGAGAUGCAUGAAGGUAAUGAAACCGGUGUGUAUGAACAUGUGGGUUCAUACAGUAAAUGCAUUUCACCUAAUUUCCAAAAAUGUAUUAAUAAGGGCCUGGGGAAAGAUUUCUGUAGUAAGUGCCAAUAAAAUGCAAUUAAAGCAAAAGGGCUGAGGUUUUCAUCUUGAAUCAGCCAUCAACCCAUUGUGAUGGGGGAAUGGAAUCUUGUAGUGAAACAGAUGUACGAGAAUAAUGUAAGUUGCUAUGGAAAAGCGAUUCAGUUAAAUCACUAAAAUGUAUGCAACUAUUCACAGAGACAAGCUUCACAGAAAUUGGCAAACCUGACUUACUGUCAGGAAUUCCAGUCCAGUCUGGCCCUAACCCUGUGUGGAAAGCAGUCCCAAACUGGACAAUUUUGCCCCCCAGAGAUUACUACAGUACUCCAACCAUCUCAUGCCUUGAUGUGUGUGUGGAUGACUAUCUUUG
ensembl:lncRNA